UACGUAGGGGCAAGCGUUGUCCGGAAUCAUUGGGCGUAAAGAGCGUGUAGGCGGCUCGAUAAGUCUGCUGUGAAAGUCCAGGGCUCAACCCUGGAAGGCCGGUGGAUACUGCCGGGCUAGAGUCCGGAAGAGGCGAGUGGAAUUCCUGGUGUAGCGGUGGAAUGCGCAGAUAUCAGGAGGAACACCAAUAGCGAAGGCAGCUCGCUGGGACGGUACUGACGCUGAGGCGCGAAAGCGUGGGGAGCGAACAGG
rnacentral:rRNA from 1 species